rnacentral:rRNA from 1 species
UACGUAGGGUGCGAGCGUUGUCCGGAAUUAUUGGGCGUAAAGGGCUCGUAGGCGGUCUGUCGCGUCGGGAGUGAAAACUCAGGGCUUAACCCUGAGCCUGCUUCCGAUACGGGCAGACUAGAGGUAUGCAGGGGAGAACGGAAUUCCUGGUGUAGCGGUGGAAUGCGCAGAUAUCCGGAGGAACACCGAUGGCGAAGGCAGGUCUCUGGGCCACUACUGACGCUGAGAAGCGAAAGCAUGGGGAGCGAACAGG